rnacentral:rRNA from 1 species
AGUGAACGCUGGCGGUAGGCCUAACACAUGCAAGUCGAACGGCAGCACAGUAAGAGCUUGCUCUUACGGGUGGCGAGUGGCGGACGGGUGAGGAAUACAUCGGAAUCUACUUUUUCGUGGGGGAUAACGUAGGGAAACUUACGCUAAUACCGCAUACGACCUACGGGUGAAAGCAGGGGAUCUUCGGACCUUGCGCGAUUGAAUGAGCCGAUGUCGGAUUAGCUAGUUGGCGGGGUAAAGACCCACCAAGGCGACGAUCCGUAGCUGGUCUGAGAGGAUGAUCAGCCACACUGGAACUGGGACACGGUCCAGACUCCUACGGGAGGCAGCAGUGGGGAAUAUUGGACUAUGGGCGCAAGCCUGAUCCAGCCAUACCGCGUGGGUGAAGAAGGCCUUCGGGUUGUAAAGCCCUUUUGUUGGGAAAGAAAAGCAGCAGGUUAAUACCCCGCUGUUCUGACGGUACCCAAAGAAUAAGCACCGGCUAACUUCGUG